ensembl:rRNA 5S_rRNA 5S ribosomal RNA
GACUAUGGACUUACCACCCAGAACGUGCCUGAUCUCAUCUGAUCUCAGAAGCUAAGCAGGGUCGGGUCUGGUUAGUACUUGGAUGGGAGAGUGGACACCGUUUCCUCCCUGUGCGCAUCCCAGGUACCAUCACCU